AACGCGAAGAACCUUACCUGGGCUCGAACGGCUUCUCAACGCCGGUGGAAACAUCGGUACCCCGCAAGGGGGUGGAGUCGAGGUGCUGCAUGGCUGUCGUCAGCUCGUGUCGUGAGAUGUUGGGUUAAGUCCCGCAACGAGCGCAACCCUUGUCCUGUGUUGCCAUCAUUCAGUUGGGAACUCGCAGGAGACCGCCAGGGAUAACCUGGAGGAAGGUGGGGAUGACGUCAAGUCCUCAUGGCCUUUAUGUCCAGGGCUACACACGUGCUACAAUGGACGGUACAAAGCGCAGCAAACCCGCGAGGGGGAGCCAAUCGCAAAAAACCGUUCUCAGUUCGGAUUGCAGGCUGCAACUCGCCUGCAUGAAGCUGGAAUCGCUAGUAAUGGCAGAUCAGCACGCUGCCGUGAAUACGUUCCCGGGCCUUGUACACACCGGAGUA
rnacentral:rRNA from 1 species